GACAGAGGAGGCAAGCGUUGUUCGGAAUCACUGGGCUUAAAGCGCGCGCGGGCGGCCCGUUAAGCGUCUUGUGAAAUCCCACGGCUCAACCGUGGAACUGCAGGGCGAACUGUCGGGCUUGAGGUCGGUAGAGGUGCCUGGAACUCUAGGUGGAGCGGUGAAAUGCGUAGAUAUCUAGAGGAACGCCAGAGGCGAAAGCGGGGCACUGGGCCGAUUCUGACGCUGAGGCGCGAAAGCGUGGGGAGCAAACAGG
rnacentral:rRNA from 1 species